AGUGAACGCUGGCGGUAGGCCUAACACAUGCAAGUCGAACGGCAGCACAGUAAGAGCUUGCUCUUACGGGUGGCGAGUGGCGGACGGGUGAGGAAUACAUCGGAAUCUACUUUUUCGUGGGGGAUAACGUAGGGAAACUUACGCUAAUACCGCAUACGACCUACGGGUGAAAGCAGGGGAUCUUCGGACCUUGCGCGAUUGAAUGAGCCGAUGUCGGAUUAGCUAGUUGGCGGGGUAAAGGCCCACCAAGGCGACGAUCCGUAGCUGGUCUGAGAGGAUGAUCCGCCACCACGGAACUUAGACACCGUCCCAACUCCUUCGGGAGGGCGCCGUGGGGAAUAUUGGACAAUGGGCGCAAGCCUGAUCCAGCCAUACCGCGUGGGUGAAGAAGGCCUUCGGGUUGUAAAGCCCUUUUGUUGGGAAAGAAAAGCAGCAGGUUAAUACCCCGCUGUUCUGACGGUACCCAAAGAAUAAGCACCGGCUAACUUCGUG
rnacentral:rRNA from 1 species